AAAAAGUAUAUGAUUAUCAAGUGAUGAAAGUACGAUCCAAGUGGUAAACUAAGUUUCAUCUGUGUAGAAUCUCUCGGUCAGAUUCUUAGUGUUUUAGAAUGAAAGUAGGAGCUUAGUCUUGGGGGUUUUCGUGACGCUCCAAUGGCCUUUCUUCUCACGUAGAGAGGAUUGGACCAUGUGGUGAGGAGUAGCGGGAGGUCUUAGUCUCGGAGGCUUCCAGUAUGCUCCAAGGCGCGGAACAGACUAACCUCGUGAGUGUGGCAAGGUGGGGAACCUAAGUUUCAUAAGCCACCACGGGUGCUUGACCCGCCAUAGCUCGACUCUCAUUCUAAAGUCUGGACGAGUCAAGUCUAGAAAAUAACAUGCUAGGGUUUGUGUUAUAAAUUGUCUUACUUGUAUGUAUUUUACUUGAGUUAAAUCUGAUAUGUAUAUGUUGCUAUAAUUGUAUGCUUUUUAUAUAAUUAGCUCACCCUUGC
rnacentral:lncRNA from 1 species